CAACAGAGACGGUUGACUAGCGAAAGCUACGAUCAAAAUCUUUAUACAUUAAUCCAUUUUGGUCACAUUUUGUAUCGUCCUUUGGCAGAAGGUUUGGUUGCUAUAGAAGAUCUCCCAGUGUGUUGACCCCACAUUCCACUGUCCAAUUUCAUCACAACAGGUUUGUAAUUUGUGUAACGAUUAGUUGCAUUUAACUGUGGUAAGUAUAUAUAGAUAUAUCAGAAGGGCACUUAAGGUGUGAUUGUGAUUAGAGGACAGAGUACUGCUCUAGUUUUUUUUUCCAGAGUUGGCUGGCCAUUCAGAGAAGGACUACAGUUGGUGCAGAAAGAGUGUUCCAGUUCUGCCGUCUACAGUUCGGUAGAGGCGCGGUUACAGGGCAGUUCGGGAGUUAUUGGAGAAGGACUACAGUUGGUGCAGAAAGAGUGUUCCAGUUCUGCCCUCUACAGUUCGGUAGAGGCGUGG